UACGGGAGGCAGCAGUGGGGAAUAUUGGACAAUGGGCGAAAGCCUGAUCCAGCCAUGCCGCAUGAGUGAAGAAGGCCUUCGGGUUGUAAAGCUCUUUUAGUGAGAAAGAUAAUGACGGUACUCACAGAAGAAGUCCUGGCUAACUCCGUGCCAGCAGCCGCGGUAAUACGGAGAGGGCUAGCGUUAUUCGGAAUUAUUGGGCGUAAAGAGCGCGUAGGCUGAUUUAGAAGUUAAAAGUGAAAUCCCAAAGCUUAACUUUGGAAUUGCUUUUUAAAACUGCUAGUCUAGAGAUUGAAAGAGGAUAGAGGAAUUCCUAGUGUAGAGGUGAAAUUCGUAAAUAUUAGGAGGAACACCAGUGGCGAAGGCGUCUAUCUGGUUCAAAUCUGACGCUGAGGCGCGAAGGGCGUGGGGAGCAAACGAGGGAUUAGAUACC
rnacentral:rRNA from 1 species